GAUAACUGACAUGUGGCGGCCAUGCUUUCANGUGAUCCGUCAAUGGUGUUGUGACGUAGAAUUCACCAAGCGUUAGAUUGUUCACCCAAUAAUAGUGAACGUGAACUGGGUUUAGGCCUUCGUGAGACAGGUU
rnacentral:ncRNA from 1 species